rnacentral:rRNA from 1 species
UUCGGUGGGGGAUCAGUGGCGAACGGGUGAGUAGCACGUGGGCAACCUGCCCCUGGCUCUGGGAUAACUCCAAGAAAUUGGGGCUAAUACCGGAUGUGACCGCUGACCGCAUGGUCUGGUGGUGGAAAGAUUUAUCGGCUGGGGAUGGGCCCGCGGCCUAUCAGCUUGUUGGUGGGGUAGUGGCCUACCAAGGCGACGACGGGUAGCCGGCCUGAGAGGGUGACCGGCCACACUGGGACUGAGACACGGCCCAGACUCCUACGGGAGGCAGCAGUGGGGAAUAUUGCGCAAUGGGCGAAAGCCUGACGCAGCGACGCCGCGUGGGGGAUGACGGCCUUCGGGUUGUAAACCUCUUUCAGCAGGGACGAAGCGGAAGUGACGGUACCUGCAGAAGAAGCACCGGCUAACUACGUGCCAGCAGCCGCGGUAAUACGUAGGGUGCAAGCGUUGUCCGGAAUUAUUGGGCGUAAAGAGCUCGUAGGCGGUCUGUCGCGUCGGCUGUGAAAACCCGAGGCUCAACCUCGGGCCUGCAGUCGAUACGGGCAAACUGGAGUGUUGCAGGGGAGACUGGAAUUCCUGGUGUAGCGGUGAAAUGCGCAGAUAUCAGGAGGAACACCGGUGGCGAAGGCGGGUCUCUGGGCAACAACUGACGCUGAGGAGCGAAAGCGUGGGGAGCGAACAGG